CUUUUAUAUAUUUUUAUUUACUUUCAACAAUAUGAAUUAGUGUCUCUAUAAUAUUAUAAUAAUAUAGUAUUCUUAAUAUAUCAACUUAUCUCUCUAUUUGUUUGAGCUGAGCACAACUUUGAAUCUUUAUUCUUUAUACUUUGUAUUCCGUCUUCUUUAAUAAAUCCACAAUAUUCCAAUGUUCUUUAGUUUACUUGACGAGGCUUAACUAUCUAGGCUUUUGAUUAUAUACUUCAGCCUUUGUUGGCUUAUGAAGUAUUUUAGCCUAAAUGGCUCUUCUCACUCCACUCUCUGCUCCUUGACUCUCAGGUUGUGCUCAGCUUUUAUAAUAAAUUUUAGAGGAAGAAAUCUAUAACUAUGACUAAUUUCUUCUAUGCAAUAUGUUUGUCAAAGCAAGUUCUAGCAGUGUUUA